rnacentral:rRNA from 1 species
GACGAACGCUGGCGGCGGGCUUAACACAUGCAAGUCGAACGGAAAGGCCCUGCUUUUGUGGGGUGCUCGAGUGGCGAACGGGUGAGUAACACGUGAGUAACCUGCCCUUGACUUUGGGAUAACUUCAGGAAACGGGGGCUAAUACCGGAUAGGAGCUCCUGCUGCAUGGUGGGGGGUGGAAAGUUUCGGCGGGUGGGGAUGGACGCGCGGCUGAUCAGCUUGUUGGUGGGGUAGUGGCUUACCAAGGCUUUGACGGGUAGCCGGCCUGGGAGGGUGACCGGCCACCUUGGGCCUGCGAUACGGCCCAGACUCCUACGGGAGGCAGCAGUGGCGAGUAUUGCACAAUGGGCGGGAGCCUGAUGCGGCGACGCCGCGUUCGUGAUGACGGCCUUCGGGUUGUAAACCGCUUUCGCCUGUGACGAAGCGUGAGUGACGGUAAUGGGUAAAGAAGCACCGGCUAACUACGUG